rnacentral:sRNA from 1 species
GCUGGGCAUUGUGGCAUGCAUCUGUAGUCCCAGCUACUUGAAGGCUGAGGCAGGAGGUUCUCUUGUACCUAGGAGUUUGAAGCCAGCCUGGACAACUUAGAAAGAUUGUCUCUU